CCCGGUCUCUUGCUGCAGCGUCGCGAGUGGGAGCACCAGGAGCCCGGGCUCGGAGCGGGACGCUUGGAUCGUUUUGAGAAAAUGGCAGACAAGCCGGACAUGGGGGAAAUCGCCAGCUUCGAUAAGGCCAAGCUGAAGAAGACGGAGACGCAGGAGAAGAACACCCUGCCCACCAAAGAGACCAUCGAGCAGGAGAAAUGGAGUGAAAUUUCCUAAGCCUGGAGGACCCCCCCCCCGCCCCCAUCAUCUCCGAGACCCCAGUCGUGAUGUGGAGGGAGGGCCACCCGCGAGAUGGACACGAGCCACAAGCUGCACUGUGAACCCAGGCACUCCGCGCCGAUGCCACCGGCCCGUGGGUCUCCGAGGGGACCCCCCUCCCCCCAUCGGACUGCCAAAUUCUCUGGUCUGCCCUGGGAUGUUAUAGAAAAUUAUUUGUAUGAUUGUUGGAAAUAAAACACCUCGUGGCAAAAAAAAAAAAAAAAAAAA